CGAGUAGAAAGAAUUAGAUUCUUUGCGAACUGCUCAGUAACACGUGCCAUUACCUGCCCUAUGCUCCGGAAUAACCUCGGGAAACUGAGAAUAAUACCGGAUAGAUCACAACGCCUGGAACGGUGUGUGGUUCAAAGGUCACGGCAUAGGAUGGGUCUGCGGCGUAUCAGGUCGUAGGGGGUGUAAAGGACCUCCUAGCCAUCGACGCGUACGGGUGUUGGGAGACAUAGCCCGGAGAUGGAUUCUGAGACACGAAUCCAGACCCUACGGGGUGCAGCAGGCGCGAAAACUUCACACUGCAGGAAACUGUGAUGAGGGAACUCCAAGUGCGCGCACUUAUGUGUGCGCUUUUCUUGACUAUUAAUCGGUCUUGGAAUAAGGGCUGGGAAAGACCGGUGCCAGCCGCCGCGGUAAUACCGGCAGCUCAAGUGGUCGUCGCUUUUAUUGGGCCUAAAACGUCCGUAGCCUGUUUGGUAAAUCUGUGGGUAAAUCAACCAGCUUAACUGGUUGAAUUCUGCAGAGACUGCCAGACUAGGGACCGGGAGAGGUGUGGGGUACUCUAGGGGUAGGGGUAAAAUCCUGUCAUCCUUAGAGGACCACCAGUUGCGAAGGCGCCACACUGGAACGGAUCCGACGGUCAGGGACGAAGCCUAGGGGCACGAACCGGAUUAGAUACCCGGGUAGUCCUAGGUGUAAACGCUGUGAACUUGGUGUCGGGA
rnacentral:rRNA from 1 species